rnacentral:rRNA from 1 species
AUUCGACGAUACGCGAAGAACCUUACCUGGCCUUGACAUAGAAAGAACUUACUAGAGAUAGUUUGGUGCUAGCUUGCUAGAACUUUCAUACAGGUGCUGCACGGCUGUCGUCAGCUCGUGUCGUGAGAUGUUGGGUUAAGUCCCGCAACGAGCGCAACCCUCGUGUUUAGUUACUAACAGUUCGGCUGAGGACUCUAGACAGACUGCCUGGGUAACCAGGAGGAAGGUGAGGACGACGUCAAGUCAUCAUGGCCCUUACGGCCAGGGCUACACACGUGCUACAAUGGGGUAUACAAAGAGCCGCAAUACCGUGAGGUGGAGCAAAUCUCAUAAAAUAUCUCCCAGUUCGGAUUGAAGUCUGCAACUCGACUUCAUGAAGUUGGAAUCGCUAGUAAUCGUGAAACAGCAAUAUCACGGUGAAUACGUUUCCGGGUCUUGUACUCACCUUCC